rnacentral:rRNA from 1 species
AUUGAACGCUGGCGGCAGGCCUAACACAUGCAAGUCGAACGAGUGGCGGACGGGUGAGUAAUGUCUGGGAACCUGCCCGAUGGCGGGGGAUAACUACUGGAAACGGUAGCUAAUACCGCAUACCAUCGGAUGUGCCCAGAUGGGAUUAGCUAGUUGGUGGGGUAAAGGCUCACCUAGGCGACGAUCCCGAGCUGGUCUGAGAGGAUGACCAGCCAAACUGGAACUGAGACACGGCCCAGACUCCUACGGGAGGCAGCAGUGGGGAAUAUUGGACAAUGGGCGCAAGCCUGAUGCAGCCAUGCCGCGUGUAUGAAGAAGGCCUUCGGGUUGUAAAGUACUUUCAGCGGGGAAGCGUUACCCGCAGAAGAAGCACCGGCUAACUCCGUGCCAGCAGCCGCGGUAAUAC